rnacentral:misc_RNA from 1 species
GUUUUAUUUUCGAAGUUAUAAAUCAUCCUCAAUUCCUCUGAAGGCGUUUAAAAGGGCAGAGUCCGCAAGGCUCCACCACCUCCCAAAAAGAGAGAGGCGGAGUCUUGAGCAUAGGACCUUCACACAUGAAAGCCAACUCCGAGUGCACAGGUGUUUGAAAGAUGUGGGACGAGACCUCUAAAAAGAGCGCCUCUGAUCUUUCGGUAAUGAUCCUUCCGCAGGUUCACCUACGGAAA